CAAGGAAGAUGCUUUAGUAAAUUUGUGCUAAGUUCGAAAAAACUUUAAGCAUUUUGGUAAUGUACUACAAAGAUUACUCUAAAUGAACUAUUCCGUUAAGAGGACAUUUUUUAUCAGUAGUGAUCAGUUUUCCAUGUUCGGACAACAAUCCCUCCUAUCCUUCAUAUAGAGAAGCCAAGUAGUUCAUGUAAAGAACUGUACUGAAAUUUUACAUUGGAGACUUUAGCGAUAUGUUAAAAGCAAACAUUGCACGUCGAAAUAUGAAUAGUCCCAUAAUCCGUGUGCCUAGUUUUCUAUAUUUAUAAUCUUACAAUGUGUCCAGAAACCAGUUUUAUGCUAUACUUACCGCUAAUCGUGGAAAAUAAUGCUAUAUAUAAUGGAUAAUUUUAUGCAAUCAUAUAUACACUUCGUUUAAGCACGAUUAUAGGAUAUAUCCAGGAAUGUACCAGAAAGUGCUCAGAACGUAUUAAAGCAAAGUGUAUAUACCUAUGCUACAUCUUUACAAAAACAGGAGAGAGAAACGUAAUAUACAUUUACUAACGAACGUAUACUAUUAAAAAAUCUACAUUUUAUUGGCGAUUAUGAUUAUACUUGUAUUCAAAUAAAAUGUUUUGUUUUUACAAUAAAAUGUAUUUAAAUAAAAUGUAUUGUUUUUACAAUAAAAUGUGAAAACUCGGAAG